rnacentral:rRNA from 1 species
GACGAACGCUGGCGGCGUGCUUAACACAUGCAAGUCGAGCGGUAAGGCCCUUUCGGGGGUACACGAGCGGCGAACGGGUGAGUAACACGUGGGUGACCUGCCCUUAGCUCUGGGAUAAGCCUGGGAAACUGGGUCUAAUACCGGAUAUGACUCCAUGACGCAUGUUGUGGGGUGGAAAGCCUUGUGCGGCUAGGGAUGGGCCCGCGGCCUAUCAGCUUGUUGGUGGGGUGAUGGCCUACCAAGGCGACGACGGGUAGCCGGCCUGAGAGGGCGACCGGCCACACUGGGACUGAGACACGGCCCAGACUCCUACGGGAGGCAGCAGUGGGGAAUCUUGCGCAAUGGGCGGAAGCCUGACGCAGCGACGCCGCGUGAGGGAUGACGGCCUCGGUU